rnacentral:rRNA from 1 species
UACGUAGGGGGCAAGCGUUGUCCGGAUUUAUUGGGCGUAAAGAGCUCGUAGGCGGUUCGGUAAGUCGGGUGUGAAACCUCCAGGCUCAACCUGGAGAGGCCACCUGAUACUGCUGUGACUCGAGUCCGGUAGGGGAGCGUGGAAUUCCUGGUGUAGCGGUGAAAUGCGCAGAUAUCAGGAGGAACACCGGCGGCGAAGGCGGCGCUCUGGGCCGGUACUGACGCUGAGACGCGAAAGCGUGGGGAGCGAACAGG